rnacentral:sRNA from 1 species
GCUGAGCGCGGUGACACAUGCCUGUAAUCCCAGCAGCUUGGAGGCUGAGACAGGAGGAUCUGGAGUUCAAAGCCAGCCUCAGCAAAAGCGAGGCACUAAGCAACUCAGUGAGACCCUGUCUCUA